AGUUAACUGCAGAGGCAGAUUUACUGCCCGGGAAAGGCGACGCCCUCUUUGAAGGUAGGGUAGCCUAUGAGUCAGUUUCACCUGAAACUCUACAGGUAAGUAAAGGAAGCAAAACGAAGAAAAAAAGGAAAGGGAACUGCAGGCAAGAUCCGGAAAGAAGAGGGCGCAAGGCUGAGAGCGAGAGAGGCGCCCCUCAACAUCGCGGGGGCUGCCCCGAGAGCUUCGGGUAGAGGCGGCGGGAUUCCCAACCUCCGAUCGCCUUCCAAGGGCGCGUGCCGGACGCGGGCGCCACCGCGAGAGCCUUAGGGAGGGCGAUCCCCUGCUGAGGAAGAGGAAGGGAACUUGGGAGAGUUACUUCCCGCAGCAGUGCUCCAGUUCCAGGGACCCGACUGGGGAAAGGACCCUUGGGGGAGACGGCGGUUACGCUCCUGCUCGUCAGGAGCCCUUUCUCGCGCCUCUGCUUUGUGGUCGUCGGUGGGUCUGCCUAUCUCCAUUGUUUCCGCCUUUGAAAAGCACUUGGCCUGGGGAACUGCGCCAUUUGGCUUGUUUGGGCUGAGAUGGGCCGAAGUAGGAGCCGGCUUCAGGCCGGACUCUUGGUGACCUUGGUUCUUGCCGGCCUGGUGCUUGGCCAGGAACAGGAAGGAGCCUCGUUUGGAGAAACUUGUCUCGCCCAAUUUACGGCCGGGGUUCCGGAGUUCGUGCUGGACACGGACGCCUCGGUGCAGAAGGGCGCUACUUUCCUGGGUUCGCCGCCGCUGGAAAGCGGUCGAGAGUGCGUGCGCGCCUGUUGCAAGAAUCCUGGCUGCAACUUGGCUCUGGUGGAGCAGAGGCCGGGAGACGAGUCCGACGGCAUUCAGAGCUGCUUUCUCCUUAACUGCCUCUACGACCAGGCCUUCGUCUGCAGAUUUGCCAAGAAGGACGGCUUCCUGAACUAUGUCAGACGGGAGGUUUACAACGCUUACGUGACCAUGCGAAACCAAAGCAACAGCGAUGAUGAGCCACCUACAGCUAGAGCUCGGAUGGAUGUGAAAGUACAGCCCAAUGAACCAGUAAUAUUGAAUGGCUCAGCAAGUUUUGAUGACAACGGAAUUGUGAAUUAUGAAUGGACUUUUCUUUCUGGUGAUUCCUCAGUGGUAAUGGAGAAAGAGAAAGAUAUUAUGAAGCUUUCAAAUCUGAAUGAAGGGAUUUACAUCUUCCAAUUCACUGUAACGGAUACUGUGGAUCAGCAGGACUCAAUCGACAUCACUGUCACUGUACUUAAUUCUGAUCAGACUGUGGAGCAUUGCUUGGCUCCUUUUAAAGUGGGACGGUGCCGAGGUUCCUUCCAUCGCUGGUACUACAAUCCAGCAGUCCAGCAGUGUCAACAGUUCAUUUUUGGUGGCUGCAACGCCAACAAGAAUAAUUAUGUAGGAAAAGAGGAAUGCGACCUUGCCUGCAAGGAUGUUCAAGGUGCUGUUGAAAAACGCCAAGAACCAGUGUGCAAUGGAAAUUGCCUACCCUUCUAUUUCAAAUGUGAAGAUGGCUGCUGCAUUGAUAGUGUUCUAGAAUGUGAUGAAACUCCAGAUUGCCUAGAUGGGUCAGAUGAGAAACUUUGUGAUUCAUAUAUCCAAGGAUUCAAUAAAUUACAGAAAAUCAAUAUUACUGCCAAAAGUUAUUGUGUGGAUAUGCCAGAUACUGGACCAUGUGAAGAAAGUAUACCUCGCUGGUACUACAACCCUUUGACUGAGAAAUGUGGCCGUUUCACCUAUGGAGGCUGUGAAGGCAACAAAAAUAAUUUUGAGAAGGAGGAAACAUGUAUGAAAUCAUGUGAAGGUGUCACAAGGGAAGAUAUGAUUGGUGAGAGAUGGAGAGGAUACGAAUAUCAGCAAGCUAGUUUAAGUGCUUUUGAAAUAGCCAUUGCUGUGCUCCUUGGGGUCUGCAUCAUGAUAAUGUUGGCAAUCCUUGGCUACUUCUUCCUGAAGAAUAGAAAAACGUACCGACGACGUCGCCAGCCAGCUACUGCAACUAAUUCCACUCUCUCCUCAGUCUUGUCUACUGCUGAAGACACAGAACAUCUGGUGUACAACAGCACCACAAAGCCCAUCUGAUUCUGUAGAGUUAUCCUCCCUUUCCGGGAAGGACAGUCUUAUUAACUGUUUGUGAUGCUUGUUUGGGGUGGGCGGUGGGCGGUGGGGGGAUCUACUGAAGGAUUUUUCUCUCCUACUUUCCAUGUUCCCUUAGACUAUCCAGCUGCUUACAAGGUCUACCUGUCCUGAACCUGUGAUAGUUUCUAAGGACAAGGAGUGACCAGAAGAUGAGCCCCCUCUCCCUUUCCUUUUUUGACAAUACAUUGACAGCUUUUGGGGUUCAUGUUUCCCUGAGUUCUGUAAUGAAGGUUGUUUUAAGUUUAAGGACUUGCUAUACCUAUUGAAGGAACCAUGGCUUAAUCUGGCGAAUGGAAUUCUUCCCACAAACGCAUGGAAGACUACAUUUCUCUCUCUGUGUGUGUGAGAGAGAGAGAACAUUUCUUAUUCCUUCCUAUUUCUUUCUGUUUAAAACCUAUGCUGCCUUAAAGCCAUCCUCCCUGUGUUUUAACUGAUAUGGAAAGUGAUGCAAGCUCAGGGUCGCACAACAUGUAGUUUUUAAACUGAUAGCACAUGGAAUUUGAUAGACUACUUAAGUAAAACUGGUGUCCUUUUCACAAAUCUGUUGAUGUCUUUGUUGAGGCAUGAGCUCAUCAACGCAUGCUAAAUGCCUAGAUUACCUAGAUAUGCUAAAUGGAAAACAGAUAAGAAUGUGAUUUGAUCUGAAUGCAUAUAAGAAGAAAUAGAAGUUAGGUCAUGACUGAACAUCUAGCUUUGCCUUCUAUUCUUCCUUCAAGGUUGUCAUUUCUAGUUUAAUGUUACAUUACUGUUUUGAGUGCUUCAUCCAUAUGUAUUUAUUUUUAGAAUCAAAAUAAGGCAGAAAGGAGGAUGCUCCUCAUUUUCUAAUUUGUCUCCAACUAUGCAUCCUUGUUAAGUAGUUAAAUAAUGUCCUCAUAUAGGGGGAGUUUCAAAAUAGCUCUUCUUCAGAGCUAAUUUUCACAAGAACUUUGGACAAAAGGAGAGUCAUGAAAGCUGGCAGACUCUGCUUGUUCGACAGCCAUGGUUAAAUAUAGAGAAAAUAGCAGGUGUUGACCCCAGAAUUUAUAGAGAGAGAAUACAGGUUUGUCCCAGUUUCACCAUAAAUAUGCUAUAUGGAAUACAUACAUUGAUGCCUGUGAUGCUUUCAUUUCCCUUCUUGUUUGUUUGGUGUAAGAUAUUUUUAUCCUUUUCCUCUUCCCACUUUGACCUACACCCCAGUUUGGAAUUUGAUGUUUUACAUUUUUUUUGUAUCUGAUAACUUACAGUUAUGCCUGAGCACUGGUUCAUUUUGUGGAUAGAGAUGCUUGGAACAAAUUCUCCAUCCUCUUUCAAAAAUGUCCUCAACAAAUAGGUGAGCAGGCUAUACCUCCUGAUUUCUGCUGAUUUGAGGAUGGGUGUCUUGAAGAUAGCUCCUCUGAACAGUGGCUUGUAAGUCUGCAUUUGCCUAUGUGUGGAAGGAAGGCAGUUUUGAAACGGGCUUAGGCUGUCGCAGGUUGCUUCAGGGUCACUGUGUGGAUCACUCCCAUCAUCUGGAGAGUUUUCACGUGACUGUCAGACAUUUCUGAGGGCACUGAAUCUUCCCAAGAGCUAAGGGUGUUCCACAGUGGGAGGAGGUAUUUCGUAAUGGUGGAAUAUAUGAGUGGAUUGACCCAUAGUUGGCUUGUAUUAUAGUUAAUUGCCCAGCUCUUGCUUGACCCUCUUGAGAAUCCAGUAGCAAAACUGAAUAUUGCUUUUAAAUCCGAAUCUUGCUCUUGAAAUCGAAUCGUGUUCCUCUCUGUCUCUGUGGCACAGAAGUUUAGCCUGUGAAGUCAGUGAAUGUACUCAUAUCCACUCUGUAUGAAAUUGUAUAUAACUUUGGAAAUACUCUAUGAUAUGAAGUUUAGGUAAAGAGGAGGUAAUUAUUUUGUUUAUUCCCUUUUUGGUAGAUGUUAAGAGAUUUUGUUUUACUGACAUAUAUAAGGAUUCUUUGCUUGGAUGUAAACCUAUGCUGGUGAAGCUGAAGAGACAUCAGCAAAAUGAACAGGAGAAAUGAUUGGUUAGGGAAUUACCUGAAGGGAAGACAGCUUUUUAUUCCCCCAAGGGCCAGACCUCCUCAAGUAUGGAACUGGCUGAGCAUCUGUUGGAAAUGGCAGAAUGGGAUGGGGAAGAAAAUGACAGACCUGGUCAUUGCACCUUAAAGGGAGGAGACAAGAGAUUGUCCUUCGCAGUUGGCCUGGUUAUUCCACACUGACACAGCUGUUGACUCCACCCUUCCUCCCUCUUUCUUUUUCUGUAAAUCUUCACUGCUUUCUGAGCCCUUAAAUUCUGGAUUUCCUCUCUGCCCGUGAAAUUUUUAAUAAAAUAUUUUAUUUGUAAAAAAAAAAA